rnacentral:rRNA from 1 species
AAUGAACGCUGGCGGCAGGCCUAACACAUGCAAGUCGAACGGAUCCUUCGGGAUUAGUGGCGGACGGGUGAGUAACGCGUGGGAACAUACCCUUUGGUACGGAAUAGCCUCGGGAAACUGGGAGUAAUACCGUAUGUGGUCGAGAGACGAAAGAUUGUAUCGCCAAAGGAUUGGCCCGCGUUGGAUUAGGUAGUUGGUGGGGUAAUGGCCUACCAAGCCGACGAUCCAUAGCUGGUUUGAGAGGAUGAUCAGCCACACUGGGACUGAGACACGGCCCAGACUCCUACGGGAGGCAGCAGUGGGGAAUCUUAGACAAUUGGGGAAACCCUGAUCUAGCCAUGCCGCGUGAUCGAUGAAGGCCUUAGGGUUGUAAAGAUCUUUCAGGUGGGAAGAUAAUGACUGUAUCACCAGAAGAAGCCCCGGCUAACUCCGUGCCAGCCGCCGCCGUAA